AAGGGUGCAAGCGUUACUCGGAAUUACUGGGCGUAAAGCGUGCGUAGGCGGUUUGUUAAGUCCGUUGUGAAAGCCCUGGGCUCAACCUGGGAAUUGCAGUGGAUACUGGCGAGCUAGAGUGCGGUAGAGGAUGGUGGAAUUCCCGGUGUAGCGGUGAAAUGCGUAGAGAUCGGGAGGAACACCCGUGGCGAAGGCGGCCAUCUGGACCAGCACUGACGCUGAGGCACGAAAGCGUGGGGAGCAAACAGG
rnacentral:rRNA from 1 species